rnacentral:rRNA from 1 species
CAGCAGCCGCGGUAAUACGGAGGGUGCGAGCGUUAAUCGGAAUCAAUGGGCGUAAAGCGCGCGUAGGCGGCUUUUCAAGUCAGAGGUGAAAGGCUACGGCUCAACCGUAGUAAGCCUUUGAAACUGGGAAACUUGAGUGCAGGAGAGGAGAGUGGAAUUCCUAGUGUAGCGGUGAAAUGCGUAGAUAUUAGGAGGAACACCAGUUGCGAAGGCGGCUCUCUGGACUGUAACUGACACUGAGGCACGAAAGCGUGGGGAGCA